rnacentral:rRNA from 1 species
CCUACGGGGGGCAGCAGUGGGGAAUAUUGCACAAUGGGCGCAAGCCUGAUGCAGCCAUGCCGCGUGUGUGAAGAAGGCCUUCGGGUUGUAAAGCACUUUCAGCGGGGAGGAAGGCGGUGAGGUUAAUAACCUCAUCGAUUGACGUUACCCGCAGAAGAAGCACCGGCUAACUCCGUGCCAGCAGCCGCGGUAAUACGGAGGGUGCAAGCGUUAAUCGGAAUUACUGGGCGUAAAGCGCACGCAGGCGGUCUGUCAAGUCGGAUGUGAAAUCCCCGGGCUCAACCUGGGAACUGCAUUCGAAACUGGCAGGCGAGAGUCUUGUAGAGGGGGGUAGAAUUCCAGGUGUAGCGGUGAAAUGCGUAGAGAUCUGGAGGAAUACCAGUGGCGAAGGCGGCCCCCUGGACAAAGACUGACGCUCAGGUGCGAAAGCGUGGGGAGCAAACAGGAUUAGAUACCCCGGUAGUC